GGGUUGUGAGGUUAAGCGACUAAGCGUACACGGUGGAUGCCCUGGCAGUCAGAGGCGAUGAAGGGCGUGCUAAUCUGCGAUAAGCGCCGGUAAGGUGAUAUGAACCGUUAUAACCGGCGAUACCCGAAUGGGGAAACCCAGUGUGAUUCGUCACACUAUCAUUACGUGAAUACAUAGCGUAAUGAAGCGAACCGGGGGAACUGAAACAUCUAAGUACCCCGAGGAAAAGAAAUCAACCGAGAUUCCCCCAGUAGCGGCGAGCGAACGGGGAGGAGCCCAGAGCCUGAAUCAGCAUGUGUGUUAGUGGAAGCGUCUGGAAAGGCGCGCGAUACAGGGUGACAGCCCCGUACACAAAAGCGCAUGUGUUGUGAGCUCGAUGAGUAGGGCGGGACACGUGGUAUCCUGUCUGAAUAUGGGGGGACCAUCCUCCAAGGCUAAAUACUCCUGACUGACCGAUAGUGAACCAGUACCGUGAGGGAAAGGCGAAAAGAACCCCGGCGAGGGGAGUGAAAAAGAACCUGAAACCGUGUACGUACAAGCAGUGGGAGCACCCUUUGGGGUGUGACUGCGUACCUUUUGUAUAAUGGGUCAGCGACUUAUAUUCUGUAGCAAGGUUAACCGAAUAGGGGAGCCGGAGGGAAACCGAGUCUUAAUUGGGCGUUAAGUUGCAGGGUAUAGACCCGAAACCCGGUGAUCUAGCCAUGGGCAGGUUGAAGGUUGGGUAACACUAACUGGAGGACCGAACCGACUAAUGUUGAAAAAUUAGCGGAUGACCUGUGGCUGGGGGUGAAAGGCCAAUCAAACCGGGAGAUAGCUGGUUCUCCCCGAAAGCUAUUUAGGUAGCGCCUCGUGAACUCAUCUCCGGGG
rnacentral:rRNA from 1 species